rnacentral:tRNA from 1 species
GAACCCGUGGCGCAGUGGUAGCGCGUGAGAUUCCAGUCCUCAAGGUCAUCCGUUCAAUCCGGGUCGGGUUCA